rnacentral:rRNA from 1 species
UACAGAGGUCUCAAGCGUUGUUCGGCUUCAUUGGGCGUAAAGGGUGCGUAGGCGGCGCGGUAAGUCGGAUGUGAAAUCUCGGGGCUUAACUCCGAAACUGCAUUCGAUACUGCCGUGCUUGAGGACUGGAGAGGAGACUGGAAUUUACGGUGUAGCGGUGAAAUGCGUAGAUAUCGGAAGGAACAUCAGUGGCGAAAGCGGCUUCCUGGACCAGUACCGACGUUCAGGCACGAAAGCGUGGGGAGCAAACAGG